rnacentral:rRNA from 1 species
UGGGGAAUAUUGGACAAUGGGGGCAACCCUGAUCCAGCCAUGCCGCGUGUGUGAAGAAGGCCUUUUGGUUGUAAAGCACUUUAAGCAGGGAGGAGAGGCUAAUGGUUAAUACCCAUUAGAUUAGACGUUACCUGCAGAAUAAGCACCGGCUAACUCUGUGCCAGCAGCCGCGGUAAUACAGAGGGUGCGAGCGUUAAUCGGAAUUACUGGGCGUAAAGCGAGUGUAGGUGGCUCAUUAAGUCACAUGUGAAAUCCCCGGGCUUAACCUGGGAACUGCAUGUGAUACUGGUGGUGCUAGAAUAUGUGAGAGGGAAGUAGAAUUCCCAGGUGUAGCGGUGAAAUGCGUAGAGAUCUGGAGGAAUACCGAUGGCGAAGGCAGCUUCCUGGCAUAAUAUUGACACUGAGAUUCGAAAGCGUGGGUAGCAAACAGGAUUAGAUACCCUGGUAGUCCACGCCGUAAACGAUGUCUACUAGCCGUUGGGGUCCUUGAGACUUUAGUGGCGCAGUUAACGCGAUAAGUNGACCGCCUGGGGAGUACGGCCGCAAGGUUAAAACUCAAAUGAAUUGACGGGGUCUAGCUG